GCUGCCUACAAACACGAACAGUCACUGGUGGGACGCCACACCCUGCUCCAGGCGGAGUCUCGGAGGCGCCGCGAACCUUCCUGUCUGCGUAGAGUACAGCCCGUUGCCGUUUGUUUUAGGGGCAGAGACUCCUCAAAGAGUCUCCAGCCAGUCGCUGAUCUAAGAAUCGCAGACUCACCUGUCACCUAAAGCCUCUGCUUCCAGACGUCCCGCCUCUUGGUCCGGGCCAACGUAAAAGACCUGUCACGCUGAUUGACGCUCUCAGAACUGGGCAGAGGAACCGCCUUGUCUCAGGGCCACUCAGUCUCAGGCUUAGCAAUGAGCUGCAGUAAUGAUCAUUUCUACAGAAGUGGCUAUCCCAUCAACAUGGCCAGGAAAAACCCCAAGUCUAACCCGGGUCCCAGGCCUCCUGGGUAAGGGGUACUCAGGCUGGAGCCGUGUGGGUGUGGGUCAGCUCACGUUGUCCGCUCGCCCUGCUGUCAGACGCCUCCGAGACCAGCCUGCGCUGACCACCUACUGUGUGUAAGAAGCUCUAUCCUACUGACUGGGGUGGAGCCUUCCCAGGGGCACACGUUUGCAAGAGAGCACGAGCGAGAGCGGGGGAUGGCCAUGCCGCUGUCCCUUCUCCACUCUCUGUGGAUUUAGGGCAUGCGGGCGUCUGGUGUUGAGUCUGGAAAUCAAACGCACAGCUGGCCACGUGGCGCUCAGCUGCCUUCACCACCGUGCCACCUGGGAGGACUUGGACACCUUGAAAACCAGUGACUUUUCUGAGACAUAUUAUGGAAUGAGGGUGUGAGGACAACGGCCCUCCCGAAGUCUGGAACUACAGGUUCUACGAGAGCAGCUGAGAGCUACUUACCUGCACCUGGGCCCGCUGGAGCCAGACCUCGCAGGAACGCUUUGGUGGUGUUCACCUUCUUGCACACACGAGUCUGUAAUCGGCGGAACUCCAAACUAUUUGGGUUGUCAGCUUUUACCCACACUUUGCAGGUUCCUGCUAAGAACACUGCAUUGGCUUUUCAGGACGUGGCCGUGUGCUUUAUUUCCUCUAUGGGAAG